UACCAGCUCUCCGAGUUGUAGGGAUGAUUAUUGGGCUUAAAGCGUCCGUAGCUGGCUUAGCAAGUCUCCUGUUAAAUUCAGCGACCUAAUCGUUGAGCCGCGGGAGAUACUACUAGGCUAGGAGGCGGGAGAGGUCGACGGUACUUUCGGGGUAGGGGUGAAAUCCUAUAAUCCCGGGAGGACCACCAGUGGCGAAGGCUGUCGACUAGAACGCGCUCGACGGUGAGGGACGAAAGCUGGGGGAGCGAACCGGAUUAGAUACCCGGGUAGUCCCAGCUGUAAACUAUGCGGGCUAGGUGUUGGGGUGGCUACGGGCCACUUCAGUGCCGCAGGAAAGCCAUUAAGCCCGCCGCCUGGGGAGUACGGCCGCAAGGCUGAAACUUAAAGGAAUUGGCGGGGAGCACCGCAACGGGUGGAGCGUGCGGUUU
rnacentral:rRNA from 1 species